rnacentral:rRNA from 1 species
CCUUAUUUCUUUUUUUUUUCUCUAUACCAGCUCGCGUGCUUAACGCCCUAACCGGUCGCUGAGAAAGCGGGGAGCGUGGGUCGCAGAGGGAGGAUCGAUCCCAAUCCUUUUUGCACCGGCGGCGGCGGCGGCGGGAGGGGGUGAAGCGAGCUCCAGUGAGGAGAGGUACAGGGCAGGACUCGAGGUGGAGGAGGUCGGGGGCGGACCCGAGACGAGGAAGAAGGAACAACCACGAGUUGGCCUGCUCUCACUUGACGGUGUUCGGCGUCGUCUCCCUGUGCAGCUACUCCUACCGUUCAGCUCGGCCUCCCCUAGCCCUCCGUACUACGCACCUAUGCCCACCUCGCCGACUUCUUCCCCAACACACCCCGUUGGCCGGGCAGAAGAAGACACCUCACCGGUGACAGCAGCGGUUCGAUGAGUUGAGUAGCUUGUGCUACAGCGGUACAAGCCCUUCUUCCUAAUAGUCGUCACCGCAGAGGAGACGGCUUACCGGAAGUCAUAAUCUCGACUGCGCCUGUCAACUAAGGAACGUAGUUACCCUUCCUAUGUAAUCGGUUUCGAACCCCCGUUCUACUAGAGGUCGGGCCGGACCGGUGGCGACCGUACAGCCACGGGAGUUGUUCAAGGACGUGCCCCUACACUUCAGACCAGGCUCCGGCGAACCGGCCUACCGCGAGUGAGAUCACGGUUCAUCUUAAGAACUCGAGGACGAAGUGAACGUUCUUCUUCGACGUAAGACGUCACGGCUCACGGCCCUGGUUCUCUAGUACUAGCUUCUCCUUCGUUUCUUGUUCUAGCGGUAGUCUACGAGCAGGACGAGUAGGGACGGGCGGCCACCUACCUUGCCUGUUGUCGCCUCCUGUACCUGUACCGAGCAGGACUUGUUGCAGCUCUCAGUAUACUCCGAAUGACCUUCGCCGUUGUAAUCACCGUAAGGCCAGGUUACGUCGUCAAGUUCGAAACGUAUAGGCUGUAGUAGCUCGGGUUCAGCGGUAGCUACAUCUGAACCGUACGGGCCCAAAUGAAACACUUGUUAUAGUAAAUCCUUGACUGACGGUAAACGACUUAACAACUUUUCACCUAUACUACCUUCUUCCAUGGCCUUUACAAGAACAACAACAUUCGAUAAACGUACUUCGCGAUUUUACGUUUUCUCUAACGAACCUCGUCUGUAUCUCCUAAACUGCGACGACGAAGAAUGGAGACAUCUCUAGGACCAUACCACGGAGCAUUGUUACUAUGACCUUUACCAGUCUGAGGUGUUGUUAACGCGAAUGGUGCUUGCUUCCUACAAUAACAUUUACCUUGGCAACAUUUCCAGUUCAUGAUGGUGUGGAUGUACGACGUAGGCGGUGGAGCAAAAAGAGUGACAAGAUAGAUAUUGUUGACACACCUCGCAAAACUAGUAGUGACAGGAACCCAACCAGUUACGUAUCCUGACCAUUGAUAUAAUUACGGAUUAUCAGAUUAUAUAAAGUAACAGUAGGCUUAGACGUACUACUUAGAGAUAACGUUGAUAAUUAGUUACAAACCACGAUUGAUGGUCGAAAAGACCACGUCGUAUUAAUAGCAAAUAAUAUAUACAAACAUAAGAGCUGGUGUGAUGAUACGGAGAUGCACAGACCCAAGACGACCCACAUGUAUUAAUUCUAGUUUCUACGUCUCCUAAGUAGAUAAACCUCCCGUUACAACUUCUGUGGACGGCUCACCAAGACUAGUAGAUGACAAAAUAAAUACACACCAAAAAACCGCCAGAAAAACAGAAAGUAGAGAUAGACUUCUCGUGGUUAGUCCAGCGAAGGGAAAGGUGGAAAGGAGACAAAAUUUUGAGAACCAUAAAUUUAGUAAAACAACGUUGAAGCAUUAAUAAGUUAGGAAGUGGAAACGUUUGAUGGUUGCUCUUGAAAUCCAUAGCUACGCUGGAUGCCCGAUUGGAUAUAUUGUUCUAACGAAUCUCGAUUGUAUCUCCAAUUAAUUUAAUUAGAAAUCAAGAAGAGGACAGUACAAAAGUAAUCAUUUGGAAUUCCAUUUAAGGGAAUCUAUUAGUACAGAAGUACCGGCCGUACUACUACCGCUGUACUGGGGGGCACUGCUACUGGGCUAGGCCGGUCUGUGGCAGAAGAAGCGGUGCUCCUUUACAAAACGUACGGAAGUUUCGAAUUAUUUUAUAAAACGUACAGAAACGAACGAUGUGAUUAUACGUCCAAAACACCUCACUACUUGUUCUGGAGAAGAAAAGUUUUAUAUACGAUCUCUCAUGAGCAACCUAAAUAUCUCUACUUCACAAACAUUUUAACGAAUUAUAGAAUAUAGAACGAACACGUCCCGUGGUCCUCUCUCUAGCAUAGUAUAAAGGACACUCGACACGAGACCUAGAAGAGGAUAAGUAUAUUCAUUGUUGUGUAAGGAUACUUCCUUAAGUAUAUCCGAAUGUAAAGUAACGUAGAGGAGACAGUAAAAAUUAACCAAUAUACGUACACGACAACGUCUUUUAACAAAGAUUCUGUACAGCCAAUGAUAUUAAUUAACUUCGUCUCAAAAACGAACUAUUAACUACCACUA